rnacentral:lncRNA from 1 species
CUUCUACAUAGUUGACCUUGUUGUAAGCCUAGACCCCCCACUAUCCAUAUAAACAUGGUGGUUGUAAGUGCAUCUAGUGCCCCUUAGUGAUUUUUGUGGUUUUAAGACUUAUAGGUUAAGUAUCUAAUGUGCUCUUGAGUGUACACAUGAUCUAUAAGUCUUUGAGGAGUUUGAAAUACUUGAUGAAUAUCGACCCCUAAAAAUGUAUAUCUUUGGUUGAAGAAAUUGGUCUGAAGCUGAAG